UCUUGCGGCUAUAGAGAAGCUUGUCUUCUCUUGUAGAGCGNCGGGACGGGUUGAGCUAAUGCCUUAGUGUAAUCUUGCCUGGAUAGNUGGGCGGAUAACNNUUCNGAAACGGACGCAUANUACCGCAUACNUCCUACGGGAGAAAGCAGGGGACCUUCGGGCCUUGCGCUAUCAGAUGAGCCUACGUCGGAUUAGCUANUUGGUGAGGUAAUGGCUCACCAAGGCGACGAUCCGUAACUGGUCUGAGAGGAUGAUCAGUCACACUGGAACUGAGACACGGUCCAGACUCCUACGGGAGGCAGCAGUGGGGAAUAUUGGACAAUGGGCGAAAGCCUGAUCCAGCCAUGCCGCGUGUGUGAAGAAGGUCUUCGGAUUGUAAAGCACUUUAAGUUGGGAGGAAGGGCAGUUACCUAAUACGUGAUUGUUUUGACGUUACCGACAGAAUAAGCACCGGCUAACUCUGUGCCAGCAGCCGCGGUAAUACAGAGGGUGCAAGCGUUAAUCGGAAUUACUGGGCGUAAAGCGCGCGUAGGUGGUUUGUUAAGUUGGAUGUGAAAUCCCCGGGCUCAACCUGGGAACUGCAUUCAAAACUGACUGACUAGAGUAUGGUAGAGGGUGGUGGAAUUUCCUGUGUANCGGUGAAAUGCGUANAUAUAGGAAGGAACACCANUGGCGAANGCGACCACCUGGACUGAU
rnacentral:rRNA from 1 species